UACAGAGGGGGCAAGCGUUGUUCGGAAUUACUGGGCGUAAAGGGCGCGUAGGUGGCCUUCUAAGUUGAACGUGAAAUCCCUGGGCUCAACCCAGGAACUGCGUCCAAGACUGGGAGGCUUGAAUCCGGGAGAGGGAUGCGGAAUUCCAGGUGUAGCGGUGAAAUGCGUAGAUAUCUGGAGGAACACCGGUGGCGAAGGCGGCAUCCUGGACCGGCAUUGACGCUGAGGAGCGAAAGCCAGGGGAGCAAACGGG
rnacentral:rRNA from 1 species